rnacentral:lncRNA from 1 species
CGGCAGGAGGGCAUGGUCCCCAUUACCUCCCUCGACCGCUAGACCACUGGCCCUCGCAGAACCCUAGAGGUGGCUGGGAACCCUGGCGGAGAGGCCUGUGCCUCCAGAGCUUCAGCCCUCUCUGGAUGGGAUUGGGGCGAUGCUGUCCUGGAAGAACAGGCUUUCUGAAUGUGACCUCGGGUUGCUGCAGCGGCGCCAUACUGCUACUGACGAUCGAGUAGCUCGCCUGCCACAGUAGGGCGACUGCGGUGGGCAGCGCAGGGCGCACAGAGGAGGGGGUAACCUGCCUGCCCAGUCUAAAGAUUUGAGGAUUCUGACAAAAAGAACUGGUUGAGGAUGGCGCAGUUGUGAACUAACCUGGCUCCUACUGCCCCACAGGACAACCAGUCCCAGUAGUCUUGGGUACCACUGCCACCACCAUAUCACUGUCGUAAAGGAUGGACUCCUGCUGAGCCAAGGUGCAGCUCUAGGCAGGAUCCCUGAAAGAUGCUCUGGCACGCAGAGGGUGGAGGGCUUUCCGCCUGCACACCGUCAUUCGGAGAAAAUCAAGUGAGCGCACCUCUCCCCACAGAGUAUUCUGUGUCUUAUGUAACACACUCACUCUGGGAUUCCUCAAGUUACCAUUUGGCCCCAAAUCAGCCAGGACUUGGUUUUCUGGCAGGGGGUGUCAGGAGGAUGCAAAUGGAAGUGGAAGCUUCAUUCCCUGGGGACUUUUAUUCCCCUCCUUUAAGCCCCAGUUCAAGGCCCAGGAACAAAGGGGAAAGGUAACUAAUCUCUCUUUUGGUCUUCCUCUCCCUUCACUUCCAACCCCCUCACCUGCAGACCCUCCUCUUUGAUAAAUAGAGGAAAGCCAGUGGGAUCAGGUACAUAUGUAAAUACUACUGACCUCGGCCUCCCCUUCUCACUGAAAAGCGGAAAGUCCAGCCCGUUUCAGGUGCAGGCUGCUCCCUGCCUUUGAGUGUCCACCACUUUUACUCCCCCAGACUGUGUGAGACUCAAGCCUACUCACUUAACAUCCCUCUCUUGUUAAAAAACAGUCAGGACAACUAUUAAAUAGUUCUUGGAAGAGUUUAAGACUUUCUUUCAGGAGUGAAACGUUUUUAAAGCCUUGCUUGGCAGAAAUCUUUAAGGCGUGCAAAGUAGAAUCAGCAGGCUUGCCUGAGCGAUUUUGAAAUUUGAAAGAUUUCUCUCCAUGAAAUGUUAAUUUAAAAUAGUUUGUAGAUGUUAUUUUGUUCUACGAUGGCUUUUUCACUAUUGUCACCUAAAGAUUCUCAAGACCAAGCUACUAAGACAUUUCUUUUGAUUUGGUUAGUUUCUGGGUGACACUAUACUUUCUGAUUAGACCUAUUUAAUUUAUUUUUUUAACUCUGCAGGACAGUUUUCAGCCUUGAAAAUGUAAGUGAAACACAGACUCGCCCUCCCUCUGAGACCCUGUUAGGGGCAGAAAGGAACAAAUCUAGCUAGCCUCACUCACACCUC